rnacentral:ncRNA from 1 species
UUUAAUACAGGGAAUAGUCCCUGGCCUGUUCACUCUAGGAGCCCAUUACCAUGGCACUGAGCGUUGAAGAAAAAGCCCAAAUCGUAACCGACUACAAGCAAGCUGAA